AUUGAACGCUGGCGGCAGGCCUAACACAUGCAAGUCGAGCGAGAGGCGGACGGGUGUGUAAUGUCUGGGAAACUGCCUGAUGGAGGGGGAUAACUACUGGAAACGGUAGCUAAUACCGCAUACCAUCAGAUGUUCCCCGAUGGGAUUAGCUAGUAGGUGGGGUAACGGCUCACCUAGGCGACGAACCCUAGCUGGUCUGAGAGGAUGAACAGCCACACUGGAACUGAGACACGGUCCAGACUCCUACGGGAGGCAGCAGUGGGGAAUAUUGCACAAUGGGCGCAAGCCUGAUGCAGCCAUGCCGCGUGGGUGAAGAAGGCCUUCGGGUUGUAAAGCACUUUCAGCGGGGAGGCGUUACCCGCAGAAGAAGCACCGGCUAACUCCGUGCCAGCAGCCGCGGUAAUAC
rnacentral:rRNA from 1 species